GCGGUGCCGGGGGGGCGCAGGGGCCAUGGCCGCCCGCUGCGGCCCGGCGCCAGGGCGGUGCGGGCAGAGGAAGGUGGCGGCUCCCGGCACCGGGAACGCUGCCUGCACCACUACCUGCACCGCUGCGUGCACGGCUGGCCAGCGGCUCCGCUGCAGGGGGGCCGGGACUGAAGGGCCAUUGGGCGACCCGGGACCUUGAAGCAGUUGUGUAGGCUGGAGCGGCGUUACAGGUCUCUUCAUUUGAGUGCAGUAUCCCUGGGCAGUGAGCUGCGAGUUCCUGGGGAGGAGCAGCAGGGUAACAGAUUGACCCCGUCACAGCGAGUUACACAGCAGUGUAACACUGGGAGCCAUGAUGCAGUUUUCUCCAGGUACAAACAGCAGCAAGGAGCACCGCCAGGCACUCUCUGAGAAGCUUCCUGAGACACCUUCACAGGGACAAAGCCUUAGCACAGCUCUCCAAAGGACACUUCCUCACACAAGGUCCACUGAGGUCACUGAAGAGAUUUCUCGCAGAUCCAUGGGGCAAGGAUUCCACAGCUGGAAGCACGAAUGGCACCUUCCAGCAGAACAGCACAGUUCUGCACGGGGCUGUUGGACAGGAUGUUGGGAGACAUGGGCAGAGCACACAAGUGGGAGGACAUUAGGGAGGGAUCCUCACUUUGGCAGGUAGAAGAAUGUCGCACAUCUUUGGAGGUAGGAGAUUCACUGAAGCUGGACUUCAUGCCCUUGUGUGAGGAAAGACCCAUCCUGGAACAAUGGAGGUCUGGCAGUGGGGCUUGCUAUGCCCAGAGCUCACCGUGAGACAUAGAGGUAGUCUGUAUCAUUUUGGGCUCUCCUCAGUCUCGUUUUGGGCUCUCCAUUUCCCAUCACUAAUGAGAGAAAAGUCCUGCCCCACAGGGGAUUUUUUGCUGCUCCACUUAAAGCAUUUAGAAACCUUGGGACAGAAAGUAUCAAGUAUUCCUGUUUAAAUGUGUUGUAUGGGCAUGUGGAAGAUGAAAGCCUCUGCUUCAUUAAGGUUUUCCAAUAGAAAACCCUUUCAAUGCAAAGGGGGAUUAAUGAUUAAACAGAAAUCCACAGAGACACAAAUCUGGUGCAAAAGAAAUAACAGAGGCAACAGCAAAAACUAAAAGUGUUUGGCCACUACUCCAGGCACAGCUUUGAAGAGGGACACCCUGGGCUUUGUAACUGAUAAAAGGGGGGGCGGGGAGAAGGAGGAGGAUUUGGGAUGUUCCAGGUGGGCCUGUACAAAACCUGCCAAGGAACAUUUAGGGGAAGGGCCAUGCAUGAACAGGGGGGCUGUGCGUGUGCAGUUCCAAUUCCAUGGCAAGCUCCAAGCUGCACUAGCUAGGGGGUAGCAGGCUCUGGGAACCUAGAGAGUGGGGGGUGUGUGUGUGUGUGUUUGUUCGCUAGUGAACUUUAAUCCUGAGCAGCCAGAGAGGAGAAAGGGGACUUAUCUGCCUAUAGUUGUGCUUUAUGUGAGUCCUAGUAGCGUUACAUGCAGGUGCUGCUGAAGGCAGUGCCUUGUUUGUUGGCAGUGUGUGCAGCCAGCUGUGUCAGAGUCAUUUGCCUGCACAUGUGUCUGUGUUUGUGCCUUUGGGACACAUGCUCAGUUUCCCUAGUGAGUGAUCUUACAAACGGGAAAGUAGCAGCUGUGCCUAUCAUCCUGGGAUAGAGACUCCCACAUCUGUGGUGCACCAGACUGGGCUCCAGCAGCCGGGCAGGAAGAACUGUUUAGUUCUGGAGCUGCUGGAGCCAGCAGCUACUGUGAACAUCCCUUAGCAGCUGUGUUCAUUGCUGAUAGACUUCCACAGACUACAGAUGGAACAUUUCAGUUAAAAGUUUAAGGGAAUGGGAAGGAUCUCAAGCCCUUUAUGAAAAAAUACAGAGGAAAUACCAUACUCACUUUUUGCCAUUUAGUUUUGAGCCAUCUUCCCAGACCCAGUCAUAACCAGUGCUAUUCUGCAAACCAAUCCAGUAGGAUUCGGUGUGCAUCAUCUGGAAGAAGUCCUAGGAGGGACGGGGAGGCAGAGAGAUCAGUAGUCUCGGGGAAGCCCAGUCAAGUCCUGGGUUCUGGGGGAAACAAUGGGGCGCUGUGUGCAAGAGGGAGGUUUGGGGCUAUUUCUCAACGUCCUUUGGACACCCACACCCUUCCUUACUGUAGGGACCUACUUUGUGAGACUCAGUGUUUUGGAGUUCCAGGCAGCUCCCCCAGCUGUGGGUCUGAGGGCUAAGCCCAUGACAAGCUCAGCAAGGGCAGGCAGAGAGAAGCAAGUCCCUCUUGCGAAGGCCCUUUACACUUUCCCUUCCUCAUAGAGGGGAAGAGCUGCCCAGUACAGUGCCUUCGACCUGCUCCCCCGUAAUCCUGCUAUCUUGCACGGCAAAGGCCUUCAGUCCUGGCCACUGCAAAGGCACCCACCAUUUCGCUGGUAUCACUGAUCACCAGGAGAUGAGCUCCCUGUGCCCGGCAGGACUGCCGACUGAAAUGCCAGUCCUUCUUCUGCUUGGAGAAGGAGUAGCAGCUCCCUCUGUAGGCAACCCACUGCUCAGGGCAGCGUGGACAUGGAUAGCCUGCGAAACAAUCAUAUAGCUCUUUUCUCAUUCAUAAUCAGAGCCUACUUCAUUGCAAAUACAUUUCUCACACACACCCUCUCCAGAAAAUGAUUCUCCAGGAUUGCAGUAAUGCCAUCCCUGAAGCUCUUCUGAGACUGACAAAGACAAUGUCAUUAACUGCACAGAUCCUCUGAAGGGCUCUGUGAAAAGCAUCCAUUUACCAGGUGGGAAUAGGUGGGAGAGCAUGGAGGGGUCUCUUGGGACCUUCCUUUUCCUUUCCAGUGUUUUUGCUCUUUUGUUUUUCCCUCCCCUUUUUAUUCUGUCUUCCCCAUAUAAACUUCAUCUUUAGCCCAUGUUUCCUUCUGUCCAAUGGGAUAGGCGAAGCCCUGGCACCUGACAGGUUUGUGGUAGGUCACCCAUUUCCAUACAGCCCCCACCACUAAGCUCUGGCUGCCGCCAGGACACGUGCUGUAGCACAUUUCUGAGUACUGCUGCUUUGUACAAACAUCAUUUCUGAUUACUUGCCAGAGCCUCAGCUUCACAGCAGUUCACAGCAAGCUGGUCAAAAGGCUUAAACUUCCAAGGAACAGGAAUCAUUCUGUAACAGCUGCUAGUCAUGGAGGUCUUGCAGUUUGAAGUAACCUCCUUUUCCUUCCUAACAGGAGAGUAGCUGGUGCUACUGGCCCAUGGAUGGCCACUGAACACCUCAGGGUUCAUUCUCUCACUGUACAGCACUGAUCUCUGGAUACACAAAAAAAAAAAAAGAGCUUUCUGGUUGUGUCCUCCAGCCUAGAGCUGCAUUCACCAGGAUGUAAAUAGUCAUGAGUGGUUGAGCGCCCAACAAAAUGUGUUUGCUACACACUGAAGUCUACCCAGUUGCCCCUUUCAAAGGCAUCUUUGAUAUUCUCUAUGCUUUACUUUGUUGUUCCUGCUGAGGACAGGUCUAACUAGACCAAGCUUAAUAUUUAAAAAUCUCAGAAAACAGAAUCAAGUAUUUUUUAACAGGGAAAAGAUAUUUCCACACUCUUCUUGGACCCCUGAGCAGAUUUCAAAAGCUGUUUUGCUUCCUGACAAAGUUUUCACUUCAAAUAAAAUAUUUUCAAUGGAA